UUUUCAAUUGCAGUAAGAAAAACAUGGUGUGGGCUGUUAGUGAAUAAUAGAGUAGUCUAUUAACACGAUAAAUAAAAGCAAAGAAGAUGUCUAAAGUGAACGACCCUCAACUGUUCCAAUAUGUUAAACUCUAAAUCAGAAGUACACGUCGCUCUUAUUACGAAGCAAAACCUUAAUGAGCCAUAAUACAUAAAGCACUCUUUGUUCACU
rnacentral:lncRNA from 1 species